AUUGAACGCUGGCGGCAGGCUUAACACAUGCAAGUCGAGCGGAGAUGAGGUGCUUGCACCUUAUCUUAGCGGCGGACGGGUGAGUGAUGCUUAGGAAUCUGCCAUUUAGUGGGGGACAACAUUCCGAAAGGAAUGCUAAUACCGCAUACGUCCUACGGGAGAAAGCAGGGGAUCUUCGGACCUUGCGCUAAAUGAUGAGCCUAGGUCGGAUUAGCUAGUUGGUGGGGUAAAGGCCUACCAAGGCGACGAUCUGUAGCGGGUCUGAGAGGAUGAUCCGCCACACUGGGACUGAGACACGGCCCAGACUCCUACGGGAGGCAGCAGUGGGGAAUAUUGGACAAUGGGCGGAAGCCUGAUCCAGCCAUGCCGCGUGUGUGAAGAAGGCCUUUUGGUUGUAAAGCACUUUAAGCGAGGAGGAGGCUACUAGUACUAAUACUACUGGAUAGUGGACGUUACUCGCAGAAUAAGCACCGGCUAACUCUGUGCCAGCCGCCGCAGUAAAAC
rnacentral:rRNA from 1 species